rnacentral:rRNA from 1 species
CAGAGGGCGCGAGCGUUGUCCGGAGUCACUGGGCGUAAAGGGCGCGUAGGUGGCCAGCAUAAGGCCGCGGUGAAAGUCCGGAGCUCAACUCCGGAUCUGCCGCGGCGACUGUGCGGCUUGAGCACUGUAGAGGCAGAUGGAAUUCCGGGUAAAAAAAGUGCGGUGGAAUGCGUAGAGAUCCGGAAGAACACCGGUGGCGAAGGCGAUCUGCUGGGCAGUGGACCGCAAGGUCCAAUAGCCGACACUGAGGCGCGACAGCGUGGGGAGCAAACAGGAUUAGAUACCCUGGUAGUCCACGCCGUAAACGAUGGGCACUAGGUGCUCCGGGGAGCGACCCUUGGAGUACCGGCGCUAACGCAUGAAGUGCCCCGCCUGGGGAGUACGGCCGCAAGGCUG